AGCCGGGCUGCUGCGGCUGAAUGACGCAAGGGGCGGGAGGGGGAGGGGGGGCUGUUUGGAGAGCGCGGGAUUAGCGAGCAGGAGCGAGGCCUGACCUCGGGAUCAGCGGCCAGUCAAACCCAUUUACACUCACCCAGCGGAACACUGACGGCUCCCGCUGCAGCAAGCGGCCGGCCGGGCAACAGAUGACUUUUGUGAUCACCAUGUGGUUAGCUGAGGAAACGCCUCUCUCAAACGCCUUCAUGUCAGGAGACUGCACCUAGGAGCAUACGUCUAUGUAGCCAAUGUUUCCCCUCCCCCCGCUUUCUCAGUUAUCUUUCAGGAACUAAUGCACAUAUAGAUUGAUUAUAUUACAUUAUUAAAUGGUGGAAUGUUCACACAUUUUAAUCCAGACUUUAAUUUAGAACAGAGCAUGUUUAGUAUUCACGUGCGAACAGGGAAAAAGUGUCAUCUUGAUAAAACAACUACUCUUCAGUGAAAUCUAAUCGUAUUUUUUGCAGUAGCAUACACAUUUCAACUGACCUUUUCUGUUCUAUACGUUAACUCUUUUACUGUAAAGGAUGUGAUCUUUUCAUGAACAAUACGAGUUCAAGGAAAGGGUUCAGACAGGUCUUAAUACUGAAGUUAUCUAGGAUUAAGGAAUUCCUAUUAAAAGUCAUUUCGUCAUUUUCAGAAUAAAGUGACUGAGGAUCUAAGAAAAAAUGGAUGGGAUUACCGUAAAGAAACGAGAGAAAAAAAACCAAAAGCAAAUGAGAUCAUUAUAUUAUAACAGUUGUGACAUUUGAUCUUCUGGCUGCAAGCUUUUUUUCACUUAGGCGAAGAGAAACCCGUUUCCAAUCCUUAGUACACAAAAUACAAAUUAUGGUUUAAAAGGCAACCAGAGAAAAAGUCAACAUAAAAGCCCCGUUUCAUGCAAAUAACCAAAUGCGGAAAGGGAGCACACAGCCCUCCACUCCUCCAGCCCAUGCCCAUGUCACUGGUCAUGUUUAAAUGGAAAUUGUGUAUGUUGGAAAUUCUGCACCGUUUCUCUCAAACAGAUUCCCGGGCGAACAUCUCCCCAGCCCCUUUUCUCCACAGUAAAGCUGACCACUGAAAAUAUAAGAUGUGCAAUCUCCGCAUCCAGUUUACUUCCUGAGGAUGCCCUGGGUAUACCUCAGCUCCUGCUGGCCUUAGCUAACCCGAAAUGCAGACAGCCACAGAGCGCCAAUGCUGUUCACCGGGGAGGUCAGAGUCUGGGUUCCAGCGCCAGCAGGGAUAUCUUCAGCUGCCUGGGGUGUCUAAUUGCUGUGUAGAAAGUCCAGCCGCAGGGUUUGUUUUGCGGUGUAGACAUACUCAUUAGCCAACAGAUAAAGCAAUGUUUGCAUGGGACCAUCACAGGUGCAUGGGCCAAAUACUCUGCUGGCAUAAACCAGCGCAUCUCUAACUGGAGCUCUGCUAUUUGGCCCUAGCAGGGAAUUUGGCCUCCUAGCUAACAAGUACGUUGGGCAGAGGGUAAUUAGGUUGCAGCUAGUAAAGAGGCCCAGUUGUCCCUCCACUCACAUGUUAUCUCUUAUCUUGCUGGUCAAGACCCUUCCCCAGGAAGGAAACUCCACUGAAAGGCCCUGCCCAGGAACCUGGCCAGCCAAUAUAGUCUUUAGUAUCCUUUUUUUAAAACUGGGCCUCGGCCGGCCACCUUUGGUCAUGUGCUCCUUUCUGUUUACACCGGAACCCCGAAGCAGAUCGGGAGCCCCAGCGCCAGGAGGAAGCAUAAAGGUGCCCAAAACUUCCGCCUCCCGCUGCUGAGCGGGUUCCCCUUCCAGAGAGCAGCCGUGCGCUCCCUGGGAGCGAGCCCCGAGGCGUGGCCAUGGCGAGCCUGGAUCUGUGUCUUCCCGGGGCUGCGGGGAGGGGGAUGGAGAAGGAGCGAUGCUGGGUCGGGAGCGAACUUAGUCGAACCGGGAGGUUGACAGCUGCGGAGCUGGGUAACAGUCUCCCUUGUCUCAUGCACCAAUCUUCCCCAUCAACUCCCUCCCCAAAGCACACUUUCUCCCCAAGCCUAAAGCCUUUCGGAAAGGAGCGUUGUUUGUCACAUCCCUGAGCCACCUCCCGCCUGCCCCGGCGCCAGGUGCAGCGCGCUGAACUGGUUUGAUCGGGUCCACAUUGGCUUGUGCCCUCUUUGAAUGCUUGUGCAAUCUGGAGCAUGCUGCCUUUGCCUCCCGCCUAUCAUACCACUCAGUGUGACCAGAUGCAACGAUUUUAUAGGGACAGUCCCGAUAUUUGGGGCGUUGUCUUAUAUAGGUGCCUAUUACCCCCUACCCCCUGUCCCGAUUUUUCACCCUUGCGAUCCGGUCACCACUCCAUGAUGUGACUUUGGCACGGGUGGCUUCUGAGUUUCGCAGAGCUCAUCCCGUACACCAGCAGGGUGGUGGUCACAUUGAUAGGACGUCCCAAACAAACUUUAGCGAAACCGGUAUCCUUUCUCCCCCCACCCCCACCCCCCGGCGACCAUCAUCACCCAGAGAGUCUUCUUCGGCUGUUUGCUCUGCAUCUGCUCCCAAGCCAAUAUUUAAAACACACCCGCUGGACUCUUGCAGAACGCAACUUCGUCUGCGCUCCCAACUUUCCACUUCCGCCCCUUCUCCCCAGCCGCAGCACCCCUGGUACAUUCAGCCACGGUUAUCUCUGCUCCUGCACUGACUGUAUUUUUCAUGGUUAUUAUCAUCCGAGGCUGUGUAGUGCCAUCUGGCACACGCGCAGGUGGGGGACGAAAAUCAUAUAGUCAAUGAAUGGAGCAUACAGGGGUAUGCUUUUUCUUCCUUCCUAUGGAGCGGUGUCUGUUCAAAAUUAUGCAGAGGAGAUAAAUGAACAAUUCACCCUCGUGACAAACGAUCAGAAACACCAAUCAUGACAUUAAAAAUCACUGUCAGCCAAGAAUGGACAAGAAAGUGCUUUCCUCUAAAUAUUGCCUUGUAUUUUCUUCCUUGAAUGUCUCCUUUCACCUUAUGUCCUCAUAAGGAACAAAAUUCCUUCAAGAUGCUAUGCCAGCUCUGUUCCCUCCGGAUCUUUAUUGAUCUUUCAACUAGCCUAUUUAAUUAUGAGGCAUAUAUCUGACGUAAGUGGUACAUAUGAAACAUCACUCCUCAUAGACACCAGUUCGUCACAUUAUGGAUCAGGUUGCAGUCCUUGAGACCUUUCUCAGUCUUACUGCUAUGGUACAGUGAGCGCAAUACAAAUGUUUCUACUAGGCUCAGUGCAAGCUAGAAGCCAAAGCAUAGCCGCCUUAUUUCAAAGCUAGUUUUAUAACAGAGAGAUAUAUAAUCAAAGCGUCUUUCUUUCAUGAGAAUGCAAAUAGUGUAACAUUAUCGGAGAUGCCUUGUGGAGAAAACCACACAAUGUAUUGUAUUACUUGAUUCAUUUUCUUUCAAUUUUUACUUUAAUUCUGCCUAAUUACUGUAUUGUGAUCUAAGUCAGCAAUCUUAAAUUAACUAUCAACGAAACUUUUGAAGAACCCCUACAAGUGCUAGAUAAUGAUGAAAUUUAAAUUACUACAAGUUAUUGUGUAAUGUCUACACAGUGGAAAAGCGAACCUGAUAUUUUCAUUUCACUCCCUCACGUCUCAUUAGGUUUUUCUUGCUUCAUUUUUCAGCAGACAAUUCUCUGCCUUUUCGACGAUAUUACAAAUAGAGAAAACAUCUGGGGGCAUUUUGUUUUCCGCAUUGGAGGAAGACGGUGCCAAAAGGAGAAUGAAAAUAUCUCGCAUCCCAGCCAGGAUUCUGAACUAGGCAGACUUCUUCAGAUGGGCAGCUGAAUGAUACAUACAUACCCAUGUGCAUGCACACAUAUACUGUGAUAACGCUCUCUUCUUAUCCUGUUGAAACAGACUAGUGGAUUUCAGGACAACUCAUAACAUCUCUGCACCUGGACUUGGGUCUGAUCUCAGACAUUUUAACUUCAGGAUACUCCUGGUUUAGGACCUAAUCCAAUGCCCAUUGAAGUCAAUAGAAAUAUUACUUCCAUGGGCUUUGGAUCAGGUCUUUACUCCAGUGUCAUUUAGAUCAGAAUCCCAUCUCUUCUUCUCUCUAUAUUUAUUCUUCCAUGAACUCUGAUUAGUUAUGGAACAAAUUAGAAAUGCUCAAUUAGG